GACGAACGCUGGCGGCGCGCUUAACACAUGCAAGUCGAACGAAGCGGCGGACGGGUGAGUAACACGUGAGUAACCUGCCUUAGACAUUGGGAUAGCCUCGGGAAACCGGGAUUAAUACCAAAUGGUCUAAGAUGGACUCGGGUCCCAUUAGCUAGUUGGUGGGUAACGGCCCACCAAGGCGACGAUGGGUAGACGGCCUGAGAGGGUGAACGGCCACAUUGUAACUGAGAAACGGGCCAAACUCUACGGGAGGGAGCAGUGGGGAAUAUUGCACAAUGGAGGGAACGCUGAUGCAGCGACGCCGGGGGAACGAAGAAGGCUUUCGAGUAGUAAAGUUCUUUUAUAUGGGAAGCGGUACCAUAAGAAAAAGCCCCGGCUAACUACGUGCCAGCAGCCGCGGUAAUUC
rnacentral:rRNA from 1 species